CCUACGGGGGGCAGCAGUAGGGAAUAUUGCUCAAUGGGGGAAACCCUGAAGCAGCAACGCCGCGUGGAGGAUGAAGGUUUUCGGAUUGUAAACUUCUUUUAAGGGGGAAGAGCAGAAGACGGUACCCCUUGAAUAAGCCACGGCUAACUACGUGCCAGCAGCCGCGGUAAUACGUAGGUGGCAAGCGUUGUCCGGAUUUACUGGGUGUAAAGGGCGUGCAGCCGGAGAGACAAGUCAGAUGUGAAAUCCACGGGCUCAACCCGUGAACUGCAUUUGAAACUGUUUCCCUUGAGUGUCGGAGAGGG
rnacentral:rRNA from 1 species